rnacentral:tRNA from 1 species
UGGGAUGUAGCUCAGUGGUAGAACAUUUGCCUAGCGUGCAUAAGGCCCUGGAUUCGAUCCCCAGUACCUCAG